rnacentral:rRNA from 1 species
GAUGAACGCUGGCGGCGUGCUUAACACAUGCAAGUCGAACGGAAAGGCCCAAGCUUGCUUGGGUACUCGAGUGGCGAACGGGUGAGUAACACGUGGGUGAUCUGCCCUGCACUUCGGGAUAAGCCUGGGAAACUGGGUCUAAUACCGGAUAGGACGAUGGUUUGGAUGCCAUUGUGGAAAGUUUUUUCGGUGUGGGAUGAGCUCGCGGCCUAUCAGCUUGUUGGUGGGGUAAUGGCCUACCAAGGCGUCGACGGGUAGCCGGCCUGAGAGGGUGUACGGCCACAUUGGGACUGAGAUACGGCCCAGACUCCUACGGGAGGCAGCAGUGGGGAAUAUUGCACAAUGGGCGCAAGCCCGAUGCAGCGACGCCGCGUGGGGGAUGACGGCCUUCGGGUUGUAAACUCCUUUCGCUAGGGACGAAGCGUUUUUGUGACGGUACCUGGAGAAGAAGCACCGGCUAACUACGUG